UUGUCAACAGGUUUGAAAUCUGUGACUAGAGACAGACAUAAGACAUUGACCUCAAAGACAACAUUAGAAUCCAAGAAUCCAAAUACCAAACUGAAUUCCUUUACAACUUUUUCAUGCUUUUGACUCGCAUUUCCUCACAACUGAGACUUAAAAUAUUUGUUGACAAGAUAUGAAUGCUGGUUCAUCUAUACUGUGUGAUGAUAAAGUUGAUAUAAGACCAGAUGUUAAUGAAGCUAGAAGAA
rnacentral:lncRNA from 1 species